UACGGAGGGUGCGAGCGUUGUUCGGAAUUAUUGGGCGUAAAGAGCGUGUAGGCGGCUCGUUAAGUCUGGUGUGAAAGCCCGGGGCUCAACCCCGGAAGUGCAUUGGAAACUGGCGAACUUGAGUACGGGAGAGGAAAGUGGAAUUCCGAGUGUAGGGGUGAAAUCCGUAGAUAUUCGGAGGAACACCAGUGGCGAAGGCGGCUUUCUGGACCGAUACUGACGCUGAGACGCGAAAGCGUGGGGAGCAAACAGG
rnacentral:rRNA from 1 species